rnacentral:snoRNA from 1 species
AAACCAUGAUGAGGGCAUUCUCUCUCAUACUCUUUAAAUCGCUCUCAGGCUUCAUAGAAUAAUUAUACUGGGCAU